AUUGCUUUUCUGCCUUCGUUCAGCAGCUCUCAGACGGAGCCUGCAAGAGGCAGUGGGUGCCUGCAGCUUCCAGGAGCUUGGGUCUUCUGAAGCCAGACCCCAGCCAUGCUUGAUGUGAGCAUGGUUGUGGCAGGGAUAUUGAUCCUUCUCUACCACCUGGGGAAAUUUUACAGCCCCUAUUUUUGGCAGGACGUGGUCUCCUUCUUUCACAUCCUUCAAUUAGGAUACAAAUGCCACAUGCGUCUCUGGCGCAAACAUCCCAUCACCUUACUGGAAUUCUUCUUGGCCAAAGUCCAGAAGCACCCAGAGAAGCCCCUGGUCCUCUUUGGAGACGAAACCUAUUCCUACCGAGAUAUCGACAGGCGCAGCAGUCAGCUGGCCAGAGUGCUCCUGGACCACGUGGGGCUGAAAGAAGGGGAAACGGUGGCUGUUUUCCUCAAGAACGUCCCUGCCUAUCUCUGGGUCUGGAUGGGACUGGAGAAGAUUGGCAGUGUCAUGGCGUGUAUUAACUAUAACAUCCGAGCCAAGUCUCUCUUGCAUGCCCUCAGCUCCUGCAAGGCCAAAGUGCUACUGACAACUCCAGGUGAUGGUGACUGUUGGCUAGUGGGAAAUAGCUGCACCUCAGGGGGGAAAUGAAAGCAUGUCUGGACUGCACAGUUAGGCCAGUUUGACCACUGCUCUCCUCUGGGCAAGGAAUCCUGGCAGCAGCCCCAGACAGCUGCUUUUGAGUGUCAUGAGUGAAUAGUUAAAUUUGUUUAAAUCACAUUUCUGCUUCCAGGGAAAGGGGUUUGUGUAGAAAGGGGUUUGUGGCCAGUUUUCGGUGGGGAGCACCAUUUGCAACUCUUCUUCUUGCAGCAACGUUUCUUGGGCUGGAUCCGGAAGAGAUUGCGACUAGGAGCUUGUCCACACUUACCUUUCCUUGGCUCUUUCCAGGCAUGGUUGGUGAUUUAAAGCUUCGUGUCUGGGUGCCCUUCUUUUUGCUCCAGGGCUUUCUCUGUGAAAACUUGCUCUUCAGUGCUCAAUCUGAGCCAACGCCAAUCCAGGGAAAAUCUGAAUUCAGCUUUAAAGAGGAGAAGGUUUUUGCAGGAAAAUCUUGGGGGGGAGGGGCGGGACGGCUCAAACACAGAGCCUGUAAAGAGUGAGGCAAAAGGUAUCUAAAGUGUAUAAGGCCCUUUUAUCCUCUCUUUCUUCCCCGCUCUCACUUUUGAUGUUGCAGUCCCAGACAAAAUGCAUGGUCACAUUGCUGGAUUUUGCAAAUUGUGCAAAAAACAAACAAACAAAAAGGCUUGCUAACUUGGGGCUGAUCCACACACUCCCAUCCUCACCAAGUCUUCCCUGCAAAAACCUGUUCUUUAAAGCUGAAUCAGAACAAGCAUCAAUCAGGGUUUUCUGUGGGUUGACGUUUGCUCCCAUUGAGCACUAAAGACCAGGUUUUCACAGGAAAAGCUCUAGAGCAAAAUAAAUAAAUAAAUGGGGUGGGGAGGCACCUGGACACAGAGCUUCAAAGCACAGGCCAUGGCUGGAAAGAGUGGAGGAAAGGUAAGAGUGGAUAAACCUUCAGCUGAUGUUUGCAGAGCUCCCUGUUUUGUGCCAGUUCACUGACUGCUCAGGUGACUAGGGAUCCACAGUGGCUUCUCAGCUCCAGUUAGGUACAUGGCUAUACCUCAGGGCUGGGGGAGCUCUGGCCUACAGAUGUUCUGGACUCCAAAUCCCAUCUGCCCCAGACAGCAUGGCCACUGAUCAGAGAUUAUGGAAUCUGUCAUGGAUGUCGGGAAGGGGUAAGAGGCAAGGAGAAGCAGUUAUCCUGUGGAUGAACCUUAAUCCCAAGAGUCCAUGUUUUCAUUUAACAAUAAAAAGUAAGUUUUGAGCAUUUGUAGAACCUGAGAUAUGAGGCCAGGCACUAUGCAGGCACUAUUCUCAUUUCUUUUGUGAGAAACUAGCGUGCCCCUGCCUUUCAAUACAGUUUUCCGCUGAACAGUUACAGAAGUCAUUGACAUUUAGGAAAGGAGACCUAGCCAAGAAGACAAAGGGCACCUCCAGUCCAUCAAUAUUUGGGGGGAGGAAUUCAAGAACAUACUGGAACUUUUAAGUUUGCACAAUUAAAGUGGGUUAAAGGGCGCUGCUCGCAAAGCGCAACAAAUCAACUUUUAAAAAGAUUCACGCUUUUUGCAGCUUGGAAAGCAAUGGAGAAAAACAUUGGAAAGUGUGGAAUGAAUUAGGGAAUGGUUAAUGGGAAAAUGUUAAAACACGUAACAAGAAAAUCAGGAUAAAUGCAGAAGAACACCUUUGAAAACACAACUGGGAAAGCCUGCAAACACCCCAUGCCGCCUCUUUUGGUGACCUUUUGGGUAACGUCCGGAUUUGAUGCAAUGUGUGUAUAUACGGUUGCAUGCAUAUUGAACAUGCGUAAAUGGGGAGUUGCCUGUAUUUGAAGAUAUCCGUGCCUAAGGUUAGGAAGUAAGCGUCAAUAAAAAACCUCACCUCUUUUCAUGCUCUCUUGAAGAUUUCAAGGCCGCCAUUGAGGAUGUCCUUCCCGCUCUAAAGAAUGAAGGAGUCCAAGUUUUCUUCCUAAGCGAAGACUCCCCAACCGAGGGUGUGGAAGCUUUGCUUGGGCAGAUCCAAUCCAGCUCAGCCGAGCCUGUGCCCAUUUCCUUCAGAGCCAACGUAACUGCUGAAUCUACAUCCCUAUAUAUUUUCACCUCUGGGACUACAGGUGAGGAGGGGAAAGGUCACAGUGAUGGGUGAGGGGGGCAAUUAUGUCUGGAAAUCCCAUCUUCCUUCUACCUGCCCUACUUGUGUAUGGGGUCAUUAAGGGAGGGGUAGUGCCUUUGAUAAGGGACGCGGGUGGCGCUGUGGGUUAAACCACACAGCCUAGGACUUGCUGAUCAGACGGUUGGCAGUUCGAAUCCCCGCAAUGGGGUGAGCUCCCCUUGCUCAGUCUCAGCUCCUGCCAACCUAGCAGUUUGAAAGCACGUCAAAGUAGAUAAAUAGGUACUGCUCCGGCGGAAAGGUAAACGGCGUUUCCGUGCGCUGCUCUGGUUCGCCAGAAGCAGCUUAGUCAUGCUGGCCACAUGACCCGGAAGCUGUACGCCGGCUCCCUCGGCCAAUAAAGUGAAAUGAGCGCCGCAACCCCAGAGUCGGCCACGACUGGACCUAAUGGUCAGGGGUCCCUUUACCUUUACCUUAGUGCCUGUGAUGGGGAAUCUGUUUGUUCCUUCUGGGGUAGUUUGUCCCACCUUUGGUCCCCAUCUUGCACUCAGCUCUCACCUGUGGCUCCUAGAAUCUGUCAACAUGGGAAGGAAUGUAUUGGGAUCCCAGCAUGUUACGCUUUCCCACUGGACGGAGUCAUUUGUGGUUGUUAAAUGAGUCCUUCUCUUUUUCCUCAAGGGCUACCGAAAGCUGCUAUCCUUUCCCAGAGGAAGAUGCUGAUAGCAUCCAACCUAUCAGGCCACCUUGGGGCCGGCCCCAAGGACAUCGUCUACAUCCUGCUCCCUCUGUACCACUCAGUUGCACUCUUAGUUGGGGUUGGAGGAUGCCUGGAAGCUGGUAUGUAUGGAAUGUCCACUCACACGCCUCCUCUGCAAGAGGGUGAUAGGUAGAGAUGGGUUGAUAAGUGCAUAGACAUACACACAUCCAUGAGUGCAGAUGUACUCUCAAGUUAGACUGAGAGACUGGCCCAAUAUCACCCAGUGAUCUUCAGGGCGAGUGGGGACCAGAGCCCUGGUCUCCCGGGUCCUAGUCUGAUGCUCUAACCACUACACAACGCAACCUCUCUCCACAUAGGAUCCUUCCUCACCACAUAUUUGGACUUUAUACAUUGAAAACACCUGCCGCCAUUUAAUUCUGAACAUUCUUUCAUCCACCCAUGGGAAGAAGCAGACCAGGAAACCUACAUGUGAAAGUCAAACAUAUUCAGGCUGUGUACAUAACAUGAUUUUAAAGCGCACUGCUCCCCUGCGCCAAAGAACCAUGAGAACUGUAGUUUACCCCUGACAGAGCUACAGUUCCCAACCUCCUUAACGAAAUCCUCCAGCCCUGUUUCAGCUGCUGUCUGGCUCAAGAAGCAAGGAGGCUUUUGUAUCUGUGAGGGUUCACUGCACAUUUAGAGCAAAUCCCUUAGUUGCUGCAUUUUGCUCCAGCUGAAGUUUCCAGACACUUUCCAGAGGCAGCCCAACAUAUGACUUACAUUGCAAUAAUAUAAUGCAUGGCACUUAGAACUGCAUCUGCCUAUACCAGUGCUCACAACAAGGCCACACCUAAGCCACUCUCUCUUUAUUCCCACAAGGGUCUACGUUUGUCUUGAAACCUAAGUUCUCCGUUUCUGAGUUCUGGAAUGACUGCAGACGAUAUCGGGUGUCCCUGAUCCUGUAUGUGGGAGAAAUGAUGCGCUACCUGUGUAAUGUGGAAAAGGUAAUAGUUGACAAGAGAGGCCAGUUUUGUUGUUGCGGCAAAAAUGUUGCCAAGUAUUCAGAUGGAUUGUCCAUUUGGAUUCACAGCUGAAUCCAAAAAUAUAGAUGGGGGCUGCACCUAGAGGUCAAAGUCAAGAGCCCCACACAGCCAGGAAGCUCGCAAAUGACCACCUGGAGAGCAGCCAUCUUCUUUUCUCAUUGUUUUUUAAAAAUCCAUUUUAUUGCAGAGGAACAGCUGGUGAAGCGGGUACACAGUUGCAGGCACUCAUUUUAUUAUUAUUAUUAUUAUUAUUAUUAUUAUUAUUAUUUAACUUAAAAAUAUAUUCCUCCUUUUCUAGGCAGCAGUGCCCCUGGUGAAUGCCACCCCAUCUCCAAAAAACAAACAAACAAACAAACAAACAAAACCCUCAAAUGCUCCAGAAGCUGCAUCAAUUUCCAGGGUAGUUUAUGGCCCUGUCAGUUUCUUUUGCUUGGUUUUUAAAAGAAGGCCCAUGGGCCCUGGCAGCUACCUGAGAACCAGAAUUGGAAACCAUGGUUUGGAAACCUUUGGUGACAUUGGUUGCCUUCUAUCUGUGGCACAGCACGUAAAUUGUGAGAUUUGUUCCUGCAAGAGCCAGUGAAGGCCGCCAACUUGGGUAGGCAAAUUCUGCUGUUGUGCUCUGUUGCUGCUUGUUGGCUUCCCACAGGUAUCUAACAGAUCAAGAUAAUAAUCAUAAUAAUCAUAAUAAUAAUUUAUUAUUUAUACCCUGCCCAUCUGGCUGGGCCUCCCCAGCCACUCUGGGUGGCUUCCAAGAAAAUAUUAAAAUACGGUAAUGCAUCAAACAUUAAAAGCUUCCCUAAACAGGGCUGCCUUCAGAUGUCUUCUAAAAGUCUGGAAGUUGUCGUUCUCUUUGACAUCUGGUGGGAGGGCAUUCCACAGGGCAGGUGCCACUACCGAGAAGGCCCUCUGCCUGGUUCCCUGUAACUUGGCUUCUCACAGUGAGGGAACCGCCAGAAGGCCCUCGGCACUGGACCUCAGUGUUUGGAUAGAAUGAUGGGGGUGGAGACGCUCCUUCAGAUAUACUGGACUGAGGCCGUUUAGGUGUUGUACCAGGUGGGCCACUGCCCUGAUUCAAGGCUAUUCUUAUGGCAUACUGUUUAAAUAACAGCCCCUCAGCUGCAGUCUGAACCAGGUGAAGUUUCCAAAGAGCCUUCCUAGGAAGCCAUUCACAGAGCACAUUUCAUUAACCUGACAUGUUUGUUAUCAGGAGGACAGGAAGCCGGCACUGGUCAGUGUGGCAUCAUUGUUAGAGUGUUGGACUAUGACCUUGGAGACGGGGGUUCGAAUCCUCACUCAGCCAUGAAGCUAACUGGGUGACCUUGAGCCAGUCACGAUCUCUUAGCCUAACCUACCCCACGAGGUUGUUGUGAAGAUUAAAUGGGGAGGAAGAGAACCAUGUCCAUCACCUUGAGAUCCUUGGAAGAUAAAGGUGGCAUAGAAAUGUAUAAUAAUAAUAAAUACUAGCAAAGUUUAUUUAGUUCAGCAGCGACCCCUCUGACAUGCUGCUUUGCAGACAGACAGCGACCGAGACCACUGUGUGCGAAUGGCAAUAGGCAACGGCAUGCGUGCGGAGGUCUGGAAGGAGUUCCUGCACCGAUUUGGACCCAUCCAAAUCUAUGAGAUCUAUGGAGCGACAGAGGGGAACAUCGGGUUUUUUAACACCACAGGAAAAGUCGGAGCUGUGGGAAGGUCCCACUUCCUCUACAAGGUAAUGAGAACUAAACUAGAAUAUCUCAGCAAACCCAUCGCUACCUGAAACCCUGUUUAUAUAUACAUUCUUAUCUAGAUAUACAUUCUUACCUAGAUCUUACCUAACCCCUGGAUGGUUAAGUCCAAUCAAAGGUGACUAUGGGGUGCAGCACUCACCUUGCUUUCCAGACUGAGGGAGACGCUGUUUCGGCUGCAGACAGCUUUCCAGGUCAUGUGGUCAGCAUGACUAAACCACUACUGGCACACAGAUGAGUGCCAGUGCACAGGGAAAUGCAGUUUACCCUCCCACCACAGUGGUACCUAUUUAUCUACUCGUACUGCUAUGCUUUCAAACUGCUAGGUUGGCAGAAGCUGCGACAGAGCAAUGGGAGCUCACCCCGUCGUGCAGAUUCAAACUGCCAACUUUCCGAUCGCAAGCCCAAGAGGCUCAGUGGCUUAGGCCACAGCGCCACCCACGUCCCUCUCUUGAAAUAUAUGGAGUGGAUGUGGCCCACGUCUUACUGCACACAAUCCAGAACUUGUUAUUCCUGCUGCACUCUAUUCACAGGGCAUGUCAGGACUGACCACCUCUCCUCUCAGACAGCUAGAAAGCAGUAGAGAGAAUGCAACACGAAGGUGAAGCAAGAUAAAAGCCCACAGCAGGGGAAAGUACAGGGAAAGGUACCAAGAAUUUUGUCGACAACCCCCAAGCAAAAAUGUACGACUUGGAAAGAUAGUUUGUUGGCAUAGUGCAGCCUCCGCAGGUUGCCCACUGCCCAGCUGUUCCUGCUGAGGUUUAAGCCUGAUCUCGUCCAUUAUGCCAAUCAAUGAAUCAGUGGCAAAGAGGGGCAUGGCUGCCAAGCCACACUGCCAACAGACAAAGAAGCAGCUCCAGUGGCACCUUGCUGCAUUUCCUUACUGUGUGCCGAGAAAGGGAAACCCUUUUCUCAGAACUCCGCAAGGAAGCAUGUCUGGUGAGGCAUUUGGGCAUGUGUAUAUCUGGAUUUGGGCCCGUCCACUUUGGGCUUUGCCCCCCAACAACAGCACAUCAUUAAACUCAAAUGAGGCAAUGCAGGCAAGAAAGGGGUUCUCUGCCCCUGAGCUUCAGCUGCUACCAGAGGAACUCUAACCAGUGAGGUACAGCAGCAAUGUUGAGGGGCCUUUGGCUCUCCAGAUGUUGAUGAAGUAUAACUCCCAUCAGUCCUGGCAAGCAUGGUCAGUGGCCAGGGGUGAUGGCUGCAGUUCAUUCAGCGACACCUGGAGGACCAAAGGUUCUCGAUACCUAGUUUAGAUCAAGGAGACCAGACUAAAAUCUCUGCUCAGCUGCAAAAUAUCAAAUAUUAUUAUUAUUAUUAUUAUUAUUAUUAUUAUUAUUAUUAGCUAUAAGCUCCCUGUUCCCUUGGGUCAUUCAUAAAAUAUAUUCCAGUCCAUGUGUAGCCUUGAAUUUCAGCCUUGUGGGAUCAUGUUUCCAUUUCCUGCUUGUUCCACCUCAGAAACUGGUAAAGUACGAAAUCAUCAAAUAUGACGUUGAAAAGGAUGAGCCUGUGAGAGACAAGAACGGACAUUGCAUCCCAGUGACUCCAGGUAAGCCAAAAAAGCUGGCAUUCAGAGAGGAACUGGGCUUUGUGUUGUCAGAGUCCUAACUCACAAGAAGGUACUGUACAUGGCCUCUAGACUGUGGAAAUUGCUCACAUGUCUCCCAGCAAGAAAGAUGGCAGAGUCCCUUCUUCACACAUAGAACAGAAGAAGAAUCAUCGAAAGAGGAAGUGUGAGCUACUCCUGCUUUGUGUUAAAUGUGAAGAGUCUUCAUCCAUCACUUCAGGGGCACCAGAAGGGAUGGAUGCAUCUGUCAGUUUCAACUUCAGUUUCUCAUUUCUCCAGUCUUAGGUUGCUUCCUGUUUAAUGAGCGUUCAUCCAGUUUUGUUUGCAGGGAAAUUAGAUGUCAUUGGUUGUUUAAUUCAUCCUGAUUUAUUUGCAGGGACGUUAGACGACAUUGCAUCAAAGCAAGCUUUAAUCUUCACUUUCUAGUCCAUUUCCCCCAUUCCAUUCCUUUGUGCAAAAAGUUCAAUAUUUGGGGGAAGGUUUGUUGCACAGGACCUCCUAUAAUUCCACAGACUGAAUUUGUUGGUAUGUGAUUGAAUCCUACCUGAAAAUAGGAUUCUAUAUCAGCUAAUUUUUAUUUAAUUUUUUUAAUUUAAUUUAAUUUAAUUUUUUAAAUUUAAUUUAAUUUAAUUUUUUAAUUUAAUUUUAUUUUUUUAAUUUUAAUUUUAUUUUUUAAUUUUUUUAAUUUAAUUUAAUUUUUUUAAUUUAAUUUUAUUUUUUUUAAAGCCACACAAAAAUUUGUUUCUUCUAUUGUACACAUGAUCCUGUGGGAUUUCCCCUAAUAUUCGCAUUUUGGAAAGUAAUUUUUUGUAAAAUAAUGUGUUUCUGGCCUGUCUUGAAUCUACUGCUCAGGGAUUUCACAGGGUGGCCCAACUGAGGCCAGCAUCCUGCCAAAUCAGCACUGUCUGCAGCAAUCAGGUGUGGUGAUGUGCUUCACCCAAUUUAGGGACUCAUGCCUGAGGAAACAGUGUCCUAAAGCAGAGUCACUCGCAUGUGCUCCCUUGCUGUGCAUUCUGACAGCUGCUAGAGAUGCCAGCAGUGGCAGAUGUCAGUGGCAGCAAGGAGAACGGUAGGAAGGCUGGUCCCCAGUAGCAUUGGCUGACUCCCACCGGAAGCACCCAGAGGCAGUCGUCUUGCCCGUGGUUCUUUGUUGGAGGAUGAAUAUUAGUUGGUUCAGCUUCGUUUCCUUUUCUUUUCCCAGGUGAGACAGGCUUGUUUGUGUCCAAAAUCACUGGGCUUGCCCCAUUCUAUGGCUACGCAGGAGACCGACAGAAGUCGGAGAAGAAGAUUCUCCGGGAUGUUUUCACCAAAGGAGACUGCUACUUCAAUAGCGGCGACCUUCUGAUGGAAGACCAAGAAGGCUUUCUAUAUUUCAAGGACCGGGUAGGAGAUACUUUCCGGUGAGUCCGGCCACACAGGUUCUGCGGCUGAUAUUCUGACAAAUGUAGAACAGGCAGUCAGCACCAGUGUUUCAUUAGCAUAGGUAGCAUUCACAAAUGCUGGCAAACACCUAAGAGCUAGUGUAGGGCAGUGGCUCAGAGUGUCAUGAAGCAUCUAGUUCAAAUCUCACCACAUUUGUCCCCAGGUGUAAUUUGGGUAUAAUAAGGCUCACUUAUCUUAUAGAUGUUGUUGCAAGGUGGGGAUGGGAAACCUGUAAUCCUGCAGGUGUUGCUGUACUACAGUUCCCAUCUUCCCUGACCACUGGCCACGCUGGUUGAGGUUGAUGGGAGUUGAGGUCCAGCCAGAUCUGGAAGGCCACAGGCUCCCUAUUGUCGCCGUAAGGAUCGCAACAAGAUCUUGUAAGUGAAGAGCUCUGAAUGAUUACCGUAAAACCAGUAUCCAAAUACUAAUAAGUAAUUUUAUCUCAUUACUGAUAACAAAAUAUCUAGCCCAUCCUUUGUCAAUGGUUAGUCACUGCUUCAAUGAAUAUGACUGGAUCUACGUACUUUUGCUCUUUCUACUGAUCGUUCAUUGUUUUUUUUAGAUGCUUGUUCAUUGUAUUUUAGGGCUGGUUGUUUUGAUACUGUUGUUAGUCGCCCAGGCUAUUCUAAAUAAAUAGCAGGAAAGGAAGAUGCACUUAAAUAAGGAAGAUCCCAGGGUGCGUUACAAGGCAAUAAUACAGUAAGGGCCCCUCUAGACCAGUGUUUCUUCGUGGAUAUAUUCUGCACAAUGCCAUUGGUGUAAUAAUAGCGCAUUAGUGGUGGAUUUAUACUGGACCAUGCGCACAUCAUUUUGCUUUAUGAGUUGUUCUGCGAUGCUUCCCCGACGUUAAUGCAUCAUCUGGAAGGGAUCCAGCAAAAGCUGCACUCUGCCAAGCAUUUGUGGCAUUAAAGGUUACUGGAUUAGAAGCAGGAAGUUACGGGAGCUUUAACAGUUGGGAACAAAGCCCUGAGUCCUCCCUGAAACUUUUGAAGGCACAAACAGUAUUGAAAGAGGGAGCAUGUAUAACUGCCCUGAUACCGUCAUGAGCACAAAGUAUGUAUACAAUUAAAAGGGUGUUUGGAGGGCCCCCAAAACAACCCCUAUAUCAAACCAACACAGCACAACUUACGGUAUAUAAGCUGGCAAGGAACCACAAACUGGCCUCUCGCUUGCGCCAAUGACAAAAUUCCCGAUUAUGAACGAAAGGAGGGAUGUUCACUUUUACCAAACCCAUCUGGGAAUAAUCUGUUUUGUCCAUGCAGCUGGAAAGGGAAAACGUGGCCACUACAGAAGUGGAGAACACCCUGGCACCACUGAGAUUCAUCCAGGAAGUCAAUGUCUAUGGGGUACCAGUGCCAGGUGGGUCUGAAAUUCCAUUGGAUCAAAACCCGUCUUUCUGCUGCCACAUUUAGCGUCCAAAUAUAUGGCAAGAUUAUUCGCUCACCAGCAACAAGGUUCAGUCGCUCACGAACGGCUGCAGCUCUUGGGUCAUUUGGAUUCUGUGAACCGAUUUGUGAAAGGCUGGUAGCGGAUAUCCCCAGACUGCAACUGAAUCACUCUUGCAAGAUAGUGGUCACGCCCACAACAUACAUUUACAGAAGCCUAUGUUUAAAGAGUCCGUGUGGUGUAGUGGCUAGAAUGCUGGACUAGGAGCUGGGAGACCAGGGUUCAAAUCCCCACUCAGUCAUGAAGCUCACUGAAGUGACCUUGGGCCAGUCUCUCACUCUCAGCCUCACUUACCUCAAAGGGUUGUUGGGAGGAUAAAAUGGUGUCGGAGCCAGCCGUUACAAAUGGCGAAGUUUAGCAUAAAAUAAAGACACAGAGAGCCAGCAAUAUUUUCAUGAUGGUAGGAGCAGCUCCUUUCGAACUUCCCUCUCCUCCUCCUGCAGCUUCUUUUUUUAUCCUUUGUCUCUCUCCAGCCGCAUGGCUGUUUGCCAAUGUCUCAUGUUACCUCAUCCGGUCAAGGCUUUUAUUGCCCCCUUCACCAUAUAGGGUCAAUCACUGCCCAGAGGAAACACAACUGCAUUUAAGUCAAUACAUUCCAAUACAUUGUAAAGCUCAGAGUGCUGGUCAGCCGAGGUCAGGGGCACCCUGCAAUAUUACAAGCCUUUACCGUGGCUUUAUGACUCCCACAAAAUGGGGAGGAGGUGAAGCUUGUUCACCGCCUUGAGCUUCUUAGAGGAAAGGUGGGAUAGAAAUGAAAUAAACAAAACAUUUAACACACACUUAAAGCACAUGGCUUCCUCAAGGAAUCCUGGGAAAUGCAAUCUGUUAGGGGUUCCAGGAAUUUUAGUUCCCGGGAUUCUUGGGAGGGGGAGGAAUCAUAGAAUCAACAAAUUAUAGAGUUGGAAGGGAACACGAGAGUCAUCUAGUCCAACCCCCUGCAACGCAGGAAGCUUUUGCCCAACGUGGGGCUUGAACCCAUGACCCUGAGAUGAAGAGUCUCAUGCUCUACCGAAGUGUGUUUUCAAUGUACCGUGUGGGAAUGUGACAAUCUGGAGGCAGUCCUGCAUUUCUGUGCUGGUUGUGAAGGAAAGGUUCUUGUUUUCCUCCACGGCUAGCUCAAAAACCAAAAUGGUCAAUGUAGAAAAUCCAAAAAAAAAUUGGAAAAAGGAAAAGAUCAGAAGAACAAGAAACUGGAUCAUUCAUAUGGCAGGGUAAGCCUGUGUGAAUUGGAGUGUUUUAGCUAGCCAGUCCACAGCUGUUCUAGGUGCAUUCAUUUACAUGUGACAUGGCUUUCCACACACACCGCCAACCGGUUCCUUCUGGUUUGUUCCAGGCCAUGAAGGAAAGACUGGGAUGGCUGCAAUCUGCCUUAAGAAGGGGCACUCCUUUGAUGGGCAGAAGCUGUAUGCGCACGCCAAGGAUUUCCUGCCAGCCUAUGCCAUACCUCGCUUCGUUCGCAUCCAGGUACGAUCCCUUCUUGUCACUUUCCUCUCUGUGCUUGCUGCCUUGAGAAACCCCAUAGGUCAGCCUCCUACCCUGGGAAUUCUUCCCUUCCCUGCCUCUCACACUUCAUCAGCCAUCCAUCACCUUCUUGCUCAGCUGUUUCUCAAUCAAUGAAGCACCAGGGGGCAAGACCAUGCGGAGAGGAGGCUGGCUGGGUACAAUAUGUCUUUGUGAGCCUGUGCAUGAAUGGGCAUGUGUGUUUGAGAGAGUGUGGGGCACGGAUUCCUCUAUAGUGUCCUUUCCUGACUUUUCGGCUGAUUCCUAAUCAGAGGAGCAGCAAGGGGAGGGGAAAGGGUGUGUGUGUGUGUUGCAUGAAUGUGUGAGUGUGAAAGGGUGUAGAAUGACCUCAUCCAUGGCCAGCUCUGCAUGCACACACACACACACACACACACACAGCCAAAAGAAUGAGACCCUCCAGCUGAAAAUGCAUUCCCUGCCUAUAGACAAGCACUGACCCAGGGCAGGCCAAGUCAGAAGACAUAGUCUCAUCCAGACUUUCUUUUGUGCCACACUUUCCAAGUACAGGUCUGUGCUUUAAAACUCUGCGUCCAAUAAGUUUUUUGUUUAUUUGUUUAUUUUCUCGGGGGGCUCCCUCCCCCCCCCCCCCGGGAAAACCUGUAUUUUACCGCUGAAUCAGAGCAAACAUUAAUCCAUGGAAACAGGGGUGCUAAUUUGAAUAAAACAUGGGGGGCAGGUAUUGUAUGAGAGGGAAGGACGUUGGCCCCUAGGAGUUGGCUCCUAUGCAUGGAAGCCCUGACUGUCAUUUCCUCCAAGCUUUCCCAGGGAAAGUGCCAGGAUAAAAACAACAACACUCAAAGACAGCCAGCACAAAAGGAAGUCCGGAUGAGCCCUGAGUCAUAGAUCCAUGUUGUUUGGCCUUCAGCAACCGGGUGUCAAUGAACAGAGUGAAAUCCACUCUCGUUAUCUCUAAUGAGAUGCUUAAGAUGCCAGCUCCCCUAGCAGAGCUCAGAGCCUGUUCUUGUACAUCUGUCUGCCACUGCUCAAAACACUGACUCCCUUGGCCUGCUCUAGGAAUGUCUUGGAGCGGGGUGUCGUUGGUUGUUCUCUACUCACUGCACUGCUCUUUCCCAUGCAGGACACCCUGGAGAUCACGGGCACUUUCAAGCAGAUCAAAAGCCAGUUGGUAAAGGAAGGAUUUGACCCUGCUGUCAUCAGUGACCCCCUCUUCUUCCUCGAUGACUCUGAAGCAUGUUACAUGCCCUUGACUCCACAGAUCUUCAGCACCAUUGCAGAGAGGAAGCUGAAGCUGUGAAAAGGAGCAAUUGUCUCUUUAACUGCCCUAGUGGCAACCUAGGAACAACUAUAGUGUUGAGCUACUUGGCUUCUGCCUGGGAAAGGGGGGGGGGUAAUCUAUUGCCACGGCAGAGCUUUCCAAACUUUUCAUGUUGGUUGAUGGGAAGUUCUGCUUCUGCACAUGAGUCUGGCAAACCGCUCUAAGCUGAAGCGUUCCUUCCUCACCCACCCUAGAAUGUUUAGUUCACAUUGAGUUCAUGAAACAUCGUACCCUGACCUGUUCUUAAUGCAUGGUUGACCACAUCUACGGAAUGCGAUAGUUAUGCUCUUUUAAUUUUUGCAAUAUCAAUCACUAGUAAUAGUUUAAUAAGGAGGUUUUCAUACCUGUCCAACCAUGUGUUCCCUUUCCCAACCUUUAAUCUAUUGAUGAUUAAUGCCUAUAUGCAACCCUUGCAUUGUAUUUGUGUUAACCAAUCAGCAACAAGCACAUAUGUGGCAAUGCUGUAAUAUUCAAUAAAAGGGACUCCCCGAGACAUGCUCGAGAGAUGCCUCCCAUAUGACACUUGUCAUUCGUCUGUCGUUUAUUUCAACCCAACAGUUGGUGACACACUUUUUAGACAUACAUCAUUUCAUGACACGGUAAUUUAGUUCUACUAGCAAACCAGAGGUUAAACGAGCCCUUUCCAGCCCCGGGAGGAGCGAGGGAGCAUUCACGUGACAUACCUACACACUGCAGCCGACACACAAAUGUGUCACGACACAUGGUUUGGAAAGCUCUGUGCCAUGGUUCUCAAAGUGGGCAGUUAGCCACCCCAGGUUGUGGUGAAGGGAUUACACGGUGGGUGCUAAGAGACAAGUGGGGGUGGCACUGAAGGUGUAAAUGACUAUUGGAUUUUGAACAAAUGUGAAAAAAAAUUCCCCAAAAAUUUUAUUAGUUUUCCACAUUUAUGACAAAUAUAACAUAUGAAACAAAACACAUUACAAUACUUAAAAAAGGAAAAAAACACAUAUUCUUUCUUAUUUUCAUUUUAAUUUCCAUUGUUAAGUGACUUCCUCAAAUCCCCCCUAACUGAAUUUCAUUAUAUAACCUUGUAACAGUUCUCCCAAACAUCUUUCUAGAUAAUUAGUUCCUUCAAUUGACUAUAUUCAACUCUUUUCUUAUUGUCUUAAAUCCAUAUUGCUAUGCCACAUUCUUAUUGUUAUCUUAGGCCUGUUUAGUAAUUUCAAGAACCUUCUCAAUUAUCUUAUAUUACAAUAUCAUAGUCUUUAACUUUCAUCCAGUCUUCUUGGUUUUCCUCCUCUUUCUGUUCACGAAUUCUUCCAGUCAGGUCAGCCAGCUCCAGAAACUCCAACAUCUUCAUCUGCCGUUCUUCUACCAUUGUUUUUUCUUGAGAUUUCCAAUUUUCUGCUAAUAGCAGUAUUGCCGCUGUAGUGGCAUACAAAAAUGACCUAACAUCUUUUUUGGGCAAUUCCAGUCCUAUUAUUCCCAGUAAAAAGGCUUCUGGUUUCUUUACAAAUGUAUAUUUCAACAUUUUAACUCAUUAUAAAUCUUUUCCCAGAAGUCCUUAACCUUAGGACACGUCCAUCACAUAUGGUAAAAGGUGCCUUCCUUUUCUUAACACUUCCAGCAUGAGUUAUCAUACGUAUGAUAAAUCUUUGCUAGUUUUACCAGGUUUAAGUACCACCUAUACAUCAUUUUCAUAUUUUCUUUUAGUACCGUACAUGCCGUGAACUUAACCCCUUUCUUUCACAACCUUUCCCAAUCUUCCAAUAUUAUAUUGUAUCCCACGUCUCUUGCCCAAUCUAUCAUAACAGAUUUGACUUAUUCAUCCUUUGUAUGCCAAUCCAACAGCAACUUAUACAUUUUAGAUAGAUUUUUAACAUCCGUAUCUAACAACUCUGUUUCCAAUUUGUUUUUUUCCGUUGCAAAACCAUUUUUCUUAUCAAGCUUAUACAACUCAUUGAUCUGGUAAUAUUGUAACCAACCAUCCAGUUUAUCUUUAAUUUGAUCAAAUAUUUUCAAUUUAAAUCCUUCAUUAUCUUCCAACAAUAAAUCAGCAUAUUUCAACCAUUUUAGUCUCCAUAUUUAGUUUUUUCUGGGCCUUAGCUUCCAUUGGUGAAAGCUACCUGGGUGUUUUCCUUCUAAGAGAUCUUUGUAUCUUAUCCAAACAUUAUAUAGAGAUUUUCUAAUUACAUGAUUUUUAAAACCUUUGUGGGCCUUUACCUUGUCAUACCAUAGAUAUGCAUGCCAACCAAAUACAUUGUCAAAUCCCUCCAGAAUCAACACUUCAAAAUUGUCUAAUUGAAUCCAUUCCUUUAUCCAGCAGAAAGCUGCAGCUUCAAAAUAUAUCUUCAGGUCUGGCAGGGAUAAUCCCCCUCUUUCUUUCUUUUUUUUUUUUAUAAAAUAUUUAUUAGAAUUUUACAAUAAACAUAGGUUUAAAAAAAUUAAGAAAAUUAAACCAAAGAUUACACAUAAACAGAAAAAGAAAAAAGAUAACAAGGAUAAUACCAAUAAAACAAGAACCUAAGAUAAUACCAAAAAAAACAAGGACCUAAAAGAGAAAAAGGAAAAUACAAAAUACAAAAAACAGAUGGCUU